rnacentral:rRNA from 1 species
UACAGAGGUCCCAAGCGUUGUUCGGAUUCAUUGGGCGUAAAGGGUGCGUAGGCGGCGCGGUAAGUCGGGUGUGAAAUCUCGGGGCUUAACUCCGAAACUGCAUUCGAUACUGCCGUGCUUGAGGACUGGAGAGGAGACUGGAAUUUACGGUGUAGCGGUGAAAUGCGUAGAUAUCGUAAGGAAGACCAGUGGCGAAGGCGGUGCUCUGGGCCAGUACUGACACUGAGGAGCGAAAGCGUGGGUAGCAAACAGG